AUUGAACGCUGGCGGCAGGCCUAACACAUGCAAGUCGAGCGGAGCGGCGGACGGGUGGGUAAUGCCUAGGAAUCUGCCUGGUCGUGGGGGAUAACGUCCGCAAACGGGCGCUAAUACCGCAUACUAUCAGAUGAGCCUAGGGCGGAUUAGCUAUUUGGUGGGGUAAAGGCCUACCAAGGCGACGAUCCCUAACUGGUCUGAGAGGAUGAUCAGUCACACGGGAACUGAGACACGGUCCAGACUCCUACGGGAGGCAGCAGUGGGGAAUAUUGGACAAUGGGCGAAAGCCUGAUGCAGCCAUGCCGCGUGUAUGAAGAAGGUCUUCGGAUUGUAAAGGACUUUAAGUUGGGAGGCGUUACCAACAGAAGAAGCACCGGCUAACCCCGUGCCAGCAGCCGCGGUAAUUC
rnacentral:rRNA from 1 species